CACAAUUGCAUGUUUGAAUUCAAAUUUUGAAUCACAAAAGGCUUUAAGAGAUUUUGUUUACAUCCUUGUAACCUUUGGAUUUUCAAACCAAUAGGGUUGAUGUAUAAAAAGGGUUUAAUGCAUAUAUAAGCUAUCCCAUAAUAAUUAUUUGGAAUUGAAAAAGUAUUUUAUUCAAACAGAUAUAUAGCCCUAAAGUCAUUUAUAGGGCAAAUGUACUUUUAUAUAUUUUAUUUUGAAGAGAAACUACUUCCAAAAGUUGUAUCAUGUUAGAACAUGAUUUUACAAAUUUUCUGCAAUUUAUUUGGACCAAUUUGGAGUUCAAACUCAAAAGAUAUCAAAGAAAUGGGAAAAACAGAAAAAGAAAAGGUCCAAGAGAAAAAAAAGGGGGUAAACGGACCGGCGCGGCCGAAUUGGGCCGAACCGGCCCACCUGUCGGGGUCGUCCCCUACCUCGGGCAAGCGCCCGAAAUCGCGCCGCCGUCCCCGCGCGUGACCGCCGC
rnacentral:lncRNA from 1 species